CGGCUACCACAUCCAAGGAAGGCAGCAGGCACGCAAAUUACCCACUCCCGGCACGGGGAGGUAGUGACAAAAAAUAACGAUACGGGACUCAUAUGAGGCCCCGUAAUCGGAAUGAGUACACUUUAAAUCCUUUAACAAGGAUCCAUUGGAGGGCAAGUCUGGUGCCAGCAGCCGCGGUAAUUCCAGCUCCAAUAGCGUAUAUUAAAGUUGUUGCGGUUAAAAAGCUCGUAGUUGGUUCUGCGUGCUACGCUGUCGGUUCGCCGCCUGCCGGUGUAACUGGCAUGCCGUGGCAUGUCCUGUCGGUGGCGUUCGGGUGCCUUGUCUAGGUGAGACCUCCGUUUCGUAAGGGACGGGUGGUUAUUCAACCGGAGGUUUCCCCGUUCGCCUACUCUAUCCUACCUAGGUGCUCUUCACCGAGUGUCGAGGUAGGCCGACACGUUUACUUUGAACAAAUUAGAGUGCUCNNNNGCUCAAAGCAGGCUGAAAUUUCUGCCUGAAUAGUGGUGCAUGGAAUAAUAAAACAGGACCUCGGUUCUAUUUUGUUGGUUCUUAGGAACACGAGGUAAUGAUCAAUACGGACAGGCGGGGGCAUUCGUAUUGCGACGUUAGACUUGGCAAAUGCUUUCGCGGUGAAAUUCUUGGAUCGUCGCAAGACGCACAAGAGCGAAAGCAUUUGCCAAGUAUGUCUUGAUUGAUCAAGAACGAAAGUUAGAGGUUCGAAGGCGAUCAGAUACCGCCCUAGUUCUAACCAUAAACGAUGCCAGCCAGCGAUCCGCCGAUGUUCCUCCGAUGACUCGGCGGGGAGCUUUUUCCCGGGAAACCAAAGCUUUUGGGUUCCGGGGGAAGUAUGGUUGCAAAGCUGAAACUUAAAGGAAUUGACGGAAGGGCACCACCAGGAGUGGAGCCUGCGGCUUAAUUUGACUCAACACGGGAAACCUCACCAGGCCAGGACAUUGGAAGGAUUGACAGAUUGAUAGCUCUUUCUUGAUUCAGUGGGUAGUGGUGCAUGGCCGUU
rnacentral:rRNA from 1 species